AGCUAGCUGGGAUUGGCCCACGAGCUCCCUCUUAUACUGGCAAGCUCCAUCACUCAGGAUGCUAAACAAAGUUCUGGAAGUAGUGAGGAGUUCUGUGACAAGCCAAAAGUGAGCUAAAAGUGACAUUUGAGUCCCACAUUUUCUACAGUGCCACAUCUGCCAAGCCUCUCUUCCCCAUUGGCUACUUUCAGGGCUUUUCAGUGGCUGAGUAACGUGUGGGAAAUCAAUUGCUGGAAAUCAGAUGUUACAGGAGCAGAGCAGGGAACCUGUUCCACUCAUGGAGUCAUCAAAGAACUUGUACCUGCCCUGGCACUGCAGCAAUCUGCCCCAGCAUGCCAUGGCCCAUCCAACAUCCUAAAGAAGCCCUUCCAGAAGUCUGGACGCUGUCGUACAUUGAUGAUUUUUGUAUGU